UACGGAGGGGGCUAGCGUUGUUCGGAAUUACUGGGCGUAAAGCGCGCGUAGGCGGACCUGCAAGUCGGGGGUGAAAGCCCGAGGCUCAACCUCGGAACUGCCUUCGAUACUGCGGGUCUCGAGUCCGGGAGAGGUGAGUGGAAUUCCAGGUGUAGCGGUGAAAUGCGUAGAUAUCUGGAGGAACACCGGUGGCGAAGGCGGCAUCCUGGACCAAUAUUGACGCUGAGGAGCGAAAGCCAGGGGAGCAAACGGG
rnacentral:rRNA from 1 species